ACAUGAAGUUGGAUUGCCCCUGGACCAUGCUGACAGUAAGUAUAGCAUGUCUUCAUUAACUCAUGUUCAUUACUAUUAUGUGUGUGAAGUUUUAAGUGUGUGAUGUUCAGAUUGUUACCAUAGGCAUAGGCAAAAGACUGUCCUGUCUAGACUGUCCUGUGCCAGUGUUGAGAAUGAUGCUUCGACAAAGACCAUGCUCGUCUUCUUUGACCCAACCAUGGCCAACAGUAUUCAGUCUGCCCACCUUCCCCCCAGAAAAAGUAAGUGAAUUACAGUGUAAAGACUAAAAAUAAAACCAUUUGAGUAGGCAAGUUCUAAUUACAAUGAAUGAUCUUUCAGGUACCCAAACCAUAAAAAAUAUACAGAUGUUCUGGGAUCUCAUCACCAGAUUUCCGUUUCUUGGAGAACACAGCUCCUCUGGUAUGUUCUUUCCCAACUGUUAUGCAAAACAUUAUUCCUCAGUUCAAUUUCUAUACUACUUUGAUUUUGUGCCAGCCUCAUAAUUUAUGUCUAUACCCACAGGAGACCCUACUUGAGUGUCUGAGGAACAAAAUAAAAAAAGAAAGGUCACCUUUAGGCAACUUGACGUCCAGGAAAUUAAGAGAAAGUUUGGUGCUGGAGGAAACAGAAUUGUGGACCAUGUGCCUCUGGAGGAACCACCUGGACAUCAGAGAGAAAAUAAGUGCAGAUUGGAAAACGCAGUCCAGAUGCUUUCUGGGAAUUAUCCAACACAAGAGGUUUGCAAUAUUUUUGUGAAUGAGAUACGGAAUUAUAUUCUCUAUUGUUUAAACAAGGUAUGUGUUGGUUUUUAACAGUGCAAAUUGACAUUUUUUUCCCUUACACACUUCUCAUUUACAUAGGAACCACCCAACUCAUUUCCGGUCAUCAGCCUCCACGAUGCAGACUCCCCUCCUUGCCAGGAGAGCAUCCAUUAUGAUGGAUGGCAUCACCAUUAUAAGCGGCGAGAUGGAUGUGGCACAUGCCAUUCAAUGUCUGCUGGAGAUGUACUUCGUCAUUGGUGUGGAGUACCCCCGGCAGAUCAAGCAUACCCUUAGCUUUUCAGAGCAUUAUCUUUUCAAAAUACAAAGUUAAAAAAAAGUGUCCAUCCCUGUUCUGAAAUUAUAUAACCAGAUUAGUUCAUCACUGUUACUGUUGAGUUUUUAAAUAAAAAAAUACAGUCCAUUUUUGAAUCCA
rnacentral:lncRNA from 1 species